CUCGGUGCUAAGUAUAACAGGCAAAUUUUGUGGUGGGAAAGCAGUUUCUAGCUGUGCUGACAGUACUGCCGUCAAAUUUUCAGGCUAUGAGAGCUCCAGAGCAGUAUCUCAUUGUGAGCACAGGUAAGCAGCUGUUUUCCUGAAGGGGAGAAGCAGCAGAGCUGGACGGAGUCGCCAUGAGGGGUGAAGUCCUGAAAACGACCCGAGGAGCUGUGGAGCAACUUCACCACGCGGUGUGACGUCAGUGCUGUACCUGUGCAUCAUGGGAAAUGGCAACUUUCCCAGAGGACACUAACCAUCAUGAGCUGGCCUCUCAAUAGAGCUCAGGUCCAAUGAGGGAAGGGGAGCUGGGCCUCGA